GACGAACGCUGGCGGCGUGCUUAACACAUGCAAGUCGAACGGAAAGGCCUGCUUUCCCUUGUGGAUUGCGGGUACUCGAGUGGCGAACGGGUGAGUAACACGUGAGUGAUCUGCCCCCAACUUGGGUAUAAGCCUGGGAAACUGGGUCUAAUUCCCGAUAGGACUGCAGGGUGGUGCCUGUGGUGGAAAACGAUGUUCUAGUGGUUGGGGAUGAGCUCGCGGCCUAUCAGCUUGUUGGUGGGGUAAUGGCCUACCAAGGCGGCGACGGGUAGCCGGCCUGAGAGGGUGGACGGCCACAUUGGGACUGAGAUACGGCCCAGACUCCUACGGGAGGCAGCAGUGGGGAAUAUUACACAAUGGGCGGAAGCCUGAUGCAGCGACGCCGCGUGGGGGAUGACGGCCUUCGGGUUGUAAACUCCUUUCGACCGCGAGGAAGCCACCUGGUUGGAAGGGUGGUGACGGUAGUGGUAGAAGAAGCACCGGCUAACUACGUG
rnacentral:rRNA from 1 species